GACGAACGCUGGCGGCGUGCUUAACACAUGCAAGUCGAACGAUGAAACCUAGCUUGCUAGGUCGAUUAGUGGCGAACGGGUGAGUAACACGUGACUAACCUGCCCCUUUCUCUGGGAUAACGCUCCGAAAGGAGUGCUAAUACCGGAUACUCACACCGAGGCACAUGCCUUGGUGUGGAAAGUUUUUCGGAAAGGGAUGGAGUCGCGGCCUAUCAGCUUGUUGGCGAGGUAACGGCUCACCAAGGCGACGACGGGUAGCCGGCCUGAGAGGGCGACCGGCCACACGGGGACUGGGACACGGCCCAGACUCCUACGGGAGGCAGCAGUGGGGAAUAUUGCACAAUGGGCGCAAGCCUGAUGCAGCGACGCCGCGUGAGGGAUGAAGGUCUUCGGAUUGUAAACCUCUUUCAGUAGGGACGAAGCGAAAGUGACGGUACCUAAAGAAGAAGCACCGGCUAACUACGUGCCAGCCGCCGCAGUAA
rnacentral:rRNA from 1 species